UUUAAGGUCAAUAUCGUUGGGAGUCUUUCAUGAAAUCCUCUCCAAAGGAAGAUUUUGAUCUUCAUUUGAAUCUCCAUUUUCCAAAUAUGCUUCCACAAUGCAGUUCCUCAUAAUCUCUGUGCAAAAAUCCAGCGGUGGGUGAGGAAAGCUAUAUGCAGUUUGAUAUCCAGUGCAUACCUCAUAUGAGCCACUUCUAUUGAGAGUCUAUAUUAAUCACUGUAAAUUGAAGGAUGGAAUACGAGUAUGGGAAUUAAGGUCAGGGGGUUACCAAUGAUUUUAAUGCAACCUCCCUCACUAACUCAUCACAACAUUCCCUUCUCAAUAACCUUGUAACCCUCUAAAAUACUACACCAGUCCCAAGAAGGUACAGUUCUUAUUUCAGCAUUCAUUAUAUUGCCAUAGCAAAAAUAUUUAUCUUUAAGAACUCUAGACAGUUGGGAUUGUGCUGAGUAGCAAUUUUCUAGCACAGUUUGGCUAGAAGAGCUAGGUUCUGAGCACCCAAGUCUUUGAAACCUAGCCCCCUUUUAAUUUCGGUCUAGUCAUGGUAUCUCAGAUGAUCAAAGGCAUCUUACUUUUUGAAUCUUUCUGUUGCCACCAAAAUUGAGAGAUGAUACUAUGAAUCUAAUGAGUAUGUCUGGAAAUUAGAAGUAAGAGAGAAAAUAAAUCGAAAUAGUCUCUCCAAUCGCCUUUAUUAGAAUAUGUCUGCCUGCUGAAGAAAGAAGUCUUUUCUUUCAACUCUGAAUGUGUCUAAAUAUCUUCUUCUUAAUUUCUCCAAAA